GGAGUGGAUAUAGCUCAGUGGUAGAGCAUGUGCUUAGCAUGCACAAGGUCCUGGGUUCAAUCCCCAGUACCUCCA
rnacentral:tRNA from 1 species